AACGAACGCUGGCGGCAGGCUUAACACAUGCAAGUCGAACGCAUCCUUCGGGGUGAGUGGCAGACGGGUGAGUAACGCGUGGGAACGUGACCUUCAGUCCGGGAUAACCCAGGGAAACUUGGGCUAAUACAGGAUACGUGCGAGAGCAGAAAGAUUUAUCGCCGAAGGAUCGGCCCGCGUCUGAGUAGCGAGUUGGUGGGGUAAUGGCCCACCAAGGCGACGAUCCGUAGCUUGUCUGAGAGACUGAUCAGCCACAUUGGGACUGAGACACGGCCCAAACUCCUACGUGAGGCAGCAGUGGAGAAUAUUGGACAAUGGGCGCAAGCCUGAUCCAGCCAUGCCGCGUGAGUGAUGAAGGCCUUAGGGUUGUAAAGCUCUUUCGUCCGAGACGAUAAUGACGGUACCGGAAGAAGAAGCCCCGGCUAACUCCGUGCCAGCAGCCGCCGUAA
rnacentral:rRNA from 1 species